rnacentral:rRNA from 1 species
ACGGGGGGGGCAAGCGUUGUUCGGAAUUACUGGGCGUAAAGGGCUCGUAGGCGGCCAACUAAGUCAGACGUGAAAUCCCUCGGCUUAACCGGGGAACUGCGUCUGAUACUGGCGGGCUCGAGGCCGGUAGGGGGUAGCGGAAUUCCCGGUGUAGUGGUGGAAUGCGUAGAUAUCGGGAGGAACACCAGUGGCGAAGGCGGCUACCUGGACCGGUUCUGACACUGAGGAGCGAAAGCGUGGGGAGCGAUCCGGA